UACGUAGGGUGCAAGCGUUAAUCGGAAUUACUGGGCGUAAAGCGUGCGCAGGCGGUUGUGCAAGACAGAGGUGGAAUCCCCGGGCUUAACCUGGGAAUGGCCUUUGUGACUGCACGGCUAGAGUGUGUCAGAGGGGGGUAGAAUUCCACGUGUAGCAGUGAAAUGCGUAGAGAUGUGGAGGAAUACCGAUGGCGAAAGGCAGCCCCCUGGGAUAACACUGACGCUCAUGCACGAAAGCGUGGGGAGCAAACAAGA
rnacentral:rRNA from 1 species